GACGAACCGUGCGAACGUUAUUCGGAAUCAUUGGGCUUAAAGGGCGCGUAGGCGGCGGUGUAAGUUGGAAGUGAAAUCCCAUCGGCUCAACCGUGGAAUUGCUCCCAGUACUGCAUCGCUCGAGGGGGAUAGGGGUUUGCGGAACUACCGGUGGAGCGGUGAAAUGUGUUGAUAUCGGUGGGAACGCCAGUGGCGAAAGCGGCAAACUUGACCCUUCCUGACGCUGAUGCGCGAAAGCUAGGGGAGCAAACAGGGAUUAGAAAACCCCUGUAGUCCAACAAGCACUCGUCUCG
rnacentral:rRNA from 1 species